UACGUAGGUGGCAAGCGUUGUCCGGAUUUACUGGGCGUAAAGAGCGCGCAGGCGGUCGUUCAAGUCGCGUGUGAAAGCCCCCGGCUCAACUGGGGAGGGUCACGCGAUACUGAUCGACUCGAAGGCAGGAGAGGGUAGUGGAAUUCCCGGUGUAGAGGUGAAAUUCGUAGAUAUCGGGAGGAACACCGGUGGCGAAGGCGGCGACCUGGGUAGAUACUGACGCUGAGGUGCAAAAGCGUGGGGAGCAAACAGG
rnacentral:rRNA from 1 species